GGAGGUUGCGAUGAGGAUUUACAGCUCCCUCUUCUGAUUCAUUUCGUUGAAGAAAUCGGCUGGCAGAAUCGAACCUAUAACUUUAUCGCCACCACUGAGCAA
rnacentral:snoRNA from 1 species